ensembl:lncRNA
AUGCACCGUAUGUGCUGUGCCCAGAUCUGGGCAUUCCAGGCGGUGCUGGUGCUAAAGAACCCGCCUGCCAAUGCCGGAGAUGUGAGACAUGGGUUCAGUCCCUGGGUCAGAUCCCCUGGAGAAGGAAAUGGCAACCCACUCCAGUAUUCUCGCAGGAGAAUCCCAUGGACAGAGGAGCCUGGUAGGUUAUGGUCUAUAGGGUCACAGUCAGACCAAGCGACUAAAAAGUAUCUGGUGAGGGACACGCUUCCUUCAAAUCCCCAGAUUCCUGGUGCUCACGAGGGGACUAAACGCCAUCCUGACCCUGUCAAUUCAGAUGUGUCCAGUGGUCACAUUGAUGUUAUACUACGGUGCGUUAGUCACUCGGUCGUGUCCAGCUUUGUGGAUCCCAUGGACACAAAGGCUCCUCUGUCCAUGGGAUUCUCCAGGCCAGAAUACUGGAGUGGGUUGUCAUUCCCUCCUCCAGGGGAUCUUCCUGACCCAGGGAUCGAACCCAGGUCUCCUGCAUUGUAGGUAAAUUCUUACUUAGCAUUAUACUAAGGUGGGAGGUAUUAAAAAUACUAAGUGACUGUUUUUGGUUCUUUUUGCCUUUCUCAGUGGAGACUGGUAAAAAGUUUGGAAUCCCAAGCACAUGAAAACAUAUUCAAGGAAGUCCAUCUUACCAUCUGUCACUAAAAAGUCAUUCUCUAGAGUUACUGUUUUCUCAAAUGAGCAAGAUGAUCUUUCUCGAGGUGAGCAUGUUAAGGUUAGUGAUGGCUGGGGGCAGGGACUAAAGCAGGUAAUUUCGGGUCCUUAAUGAGAAGUGUCUGCCAUUUCCCAAGGUAAGGCAACUAUGCAUCAGGUAGGCCAAGGUUAUCUUAAACGAGGUGAUUCCUGGAGACACGAGAUAUUAGUAUUACAUAUUAGUGUGGACAAUAAUUUAUGGAAAAGAAUUUUAAAACUCAUCAAAUUCAUAGAAAUAAAAGUAAAACAGUUGUUCCCAGGGGCCAAGGGGAGAGGAGAGGGGGCAGUCAGGGUUCAACAGGGUCUGGGAAGAUGAAAAGUUCUAGCAACAGGAUGGCAGUGAUGGUGAACGCACUAACGCCACUGAGCCGCACACGUUAAAAUGGCUAAGAUGCUGACCUUUAUUACAUCGAUAUAUAAACACAAUUUUUCAAAAUCCACCAUGAAAAUGAAUUUUAAAUAUCUUAUUUUUAAUAAGUAAAAGAUGCAACUACUAAUUCUUUUUAUUUCUCAUAUCAAGACCUAAGACAAUAUAGACAAAGCAUCAAUACAGACAAUACAGACAAAAGUUUAAUAUAGACAAAUAAAUCAAUAUAGACAAAGUGUAAAUCUUAUGGCUCUAAUGCAGUAAUUAUCAAAGUUUAUCUUGAUAAUUCUUUUUCUAACCCUAGUGUCACUUGGAAAAUACUAACAUAUAAAAUUUAAUCUGCUAAUUCUCCUUCUUUUUAAUUCCACUCCUCACUUAAAAAGCUUUCGGCCUUCAAGGUCAGGUGCAUGCCAUGUAGUCAGAAAGCAAUUCUUACGUAAGUAGCAGCUGACGGUGGUUAGCCGCAGAAGGCUGGAAUGCAGAGAACUCAGCCCUUGUGCCUGAAGGAUCCUCCCACAAACUAAAGCCCAGAAGGGCUCCGGACUAUGGAUAAAAUGCAAUUAAAAUAUUAAAAAUUUAAAAAAAUAAAGAAUGGGCGGAAAGUGCAACGACAAUCCUAAGUCAUGGAAGGCCAUUGAGGACACAGGAUCUUCUUCUGCUUCUCAAGCAGACCAUAAAACACGCCUGUCGCGCACUGUAAAACGAGCUGCACUCGCACUGCCAGGAGCAGACCUUCUCAAAGGCUGUGAGAUUACCUGUGCUCAACGGGUUUGUAGUCAAUGGUAAUGUUUUUCAAGGUUAGAAGCUAACAAAAUCACAUCCUCUAGACUGAGGUGUCCAAUAUAGUAGCAGCUAAUCUAUAUACAGCUACGUAAACACCAGGGCUUCCCCGGUGCCUCAGACAGUAAAGAAUCCCCCUGCAAUGCAGGAGACCUGGGUUCAGUCCCUGGGUCAGGAAGAUCCCCUGGAGAAGGAAAUGGCAACCCCCUCCAGUAUUCUCACCUGGGAAAUCCCACGGACAGAGGAGGCUGGCGGGCUACAGUCCAUGGGGUCACAAAGAGUCCGACACAACUUCGACCAACUAACACUUCCAUGUAAAAACUAAAGUUAAAAAUUCAGCUCCUUAGUUGCAAGAGUCACAUUUCCAGUGCUCAAGAGCCACAUGGGGGUGGCGGCUGCCACAGUGGACGAGGCAGACAGAAACACUUCCAUCUUCCCUGAACGUGUCCUGGACAAGAGCUGCGCUGGCACUAAGGGCCGUUUCCCGAAGCCCCCACAGCAGCUUCCAUCCACUCACCUUACACACGUGUGCUCAACUCCACCUAUGCGACAGGACCGGCGCCAGCUGUCCGGAAUGGCAGUGAGUAAAACCAACGAUUUAAGUAGGAGAUAAAGAGAAACCCCAAGAUACAAAUGGAGACACUAUUUUUAGUUAUAGGUAAGCAGGGGGGGAGGGCUGGCUGAAGAAGUCACCUUUAAGCCAAGAUUAGAAAGAUAAGACAUUUAAGCAGACAGUUUCCAAACAGAGGGGCUGAAGAACCCAUGUGCUCAGCUGGGAGGGGGCCUGCAUAUUCCAGCAGCUGAUUCUCCUGCUUCUGCAGCCGUCUCAUCAGACCUGAAACACCAAGCAGAGCAGUGAACUGACACCCAAUCUAUUCUGGGGGAGUCGGACAGCGGUCCAGAUAGAAUCCUCAGCCCUUCCUUGUCCUCUAAACCACCCACCUUUCUGCCAUUUCAUUUCCGGAAGGACAGACUUCUGAGUGGGCAGAAGCAAUGAACUUUGUUACUUCUUAGCAGGGAAGGGGCUAAGUGAGGCUCCUGAGCAACCCUGCGCCCUAACGGGCUGUGUCCACAUGGGCGCUGGAGACACCUCCAUCCCAGGCUGAGCAGCUUCCACGUGGCGGAGCUGUCAGCGUUCCCGCUGGGGGCCGACCGCUCACCCUGACCUCGAGCUGCAAGACCCAGCUGCCAGGAUGACCCUCACUGGGUGGGUGAUCUUUCCCAGGUGGCGGGCACCUUCGCCGGGUCACUGCCCCGCAGACAGCACACUGCUGGGGGGCUGCACACACCCUCCAGGCCUUUGAACAUCUCUGCCCACAACUCAGUGGCCCGAUCACACACCGCGUCAUUCUCCCAGCUUCACUUCCUUCUCUUCCUUCACAACCAAGCGGCCGUGCCUCUCACGGUCCCGGCAUCCUCACAGGGGCUCCCAGGGCCUGCAGGACGCUCGCCCGGGGCCUCUACACAGAGCCCUCUGGGGAGCCCGCGGGAUCUGGAGAGCAGCGUCUGGCCUGCCCUGGUCCAGCCACCCACCAGGAAGCCCCUUCCCACCCCAGUCAUGCUGGGAACAGAAGAACAGAACCUCCACUGCUGGGAUGAGCUGCAAGGCUGAGACUGGGGGGAAGGCUGCCUUCUCACACCGAAGUAAGUCAAAUGUGGACGUUAUGCUUAUCACGUCAGGCUUUGAUUUUUCCGCCUUA